rnacentral:lncRNA from 1 species
CUAUGUCUGCUUGCGACAAGAUUUGGGAUCUCGUUCGAGGCCACCGUUGGAAUAUUUUUUGUUCAGCCUCGAUUGAAUCGGCGGUUGACACUAUUGUUCAUGAAUUUUAUGCUUCCCUAAAAGAUAGGGAGAAUUAGAAGCAAAGAAGUGAGACGAUCACCCACGUGACUAUCCGAGGCAAAGAAGUACCAAUUACACCUCGUAAUAUUUGCCGAUCC